rnacentral:rRNA from 1 species
UACGGGGGGGGCAAGCGUUAUUCGGAAUUACUGGGCGUAAAGGGCUCGUAGGCGGCCAACUAAGUCAGACGUGAAAUCCCUCAGCUUAACUGGGGAACUGCGUCUGAGACUGGAUGGCUCGAGUGCAGGAGAGGAACGCGGAAUUCCAGGUGUAGCGGUGAAAUGCGUAGAUAUCUGGAGGAACACCGGUGGCGAAGGCGGCGUUCUGGACUGCAACUGACACUGAGAGACGAAAGCCAGGUGAGCAAACGGG